rnacentral:misc_RNA from 1 species
AACGCAUAUUGCACUCUCUGGUAUUCCGGGGAGUAUGCCUGUUUGAGGGUCAGUAAAAAUAAAAAAUCUAUCAUGAAUCCUUUUUUUAAUUUAUUUUAUUAAAUCGGAACAUGGAAUUGGAUCUUUCAAAAAUUUCAUUAUUUUUGAUGAUCUUAAAUUUAUGUUAUAUGGCUAUAUAAUAAACUGAACCAAAAAGAGCAAUUAUUUAUAAUUAAUCUCAUUUAGUGAUGUUUUAUUAAGCCAAAUAUGAUUUAUUUUUGAUAUUUAAUUAUCAAAAUAAUCAUAAACAUAUUUUAAAAAUGACCUCAAAUCAGGUAAGAGUACCCGCUGAACUUAA